rnacentral:rRNA from 1 species
GACGAACGCUGGCGGCGUGCCUAAUACAUGCAAGUUGAGCGCUGAAGGUUGGUACUUGUACCAACUGGAUGAGCAGCGAACGGGUGAGUAACGCGUGGGGAAUCUGCCUUUGAGCGGGGGACAACAUUUGGAAACGAAUGCUAAUACCGCAUAAAAACUUUAAACACAAGUUUUAAGUUUGAAAGAUGCAAUUGCAUCACUCAAAGAUGAUCCCGCGUUGUAUUAGCUAGUUGGUGAGGUAAAGGCUCACCAAGGCGAUGAUACAUAGCCGACCUGAGAGGGUGAUCGGCCACAUUGGGACUGAGACACGGCCCAAACUCCUACGGGAGGCAGCAGUAGGGAAUCUUCGGCAAUGGACGAAAGUCCGACCGAGCAACGCCGCGUGAGUGAAGAAGGUUUUCGGAUCGUAAAACUCUUUUGGUAGAGAAGAACGUUGGUGAGAGUGGAAAGCUCAUCAAGUGACGGUAACUAACCAGAAAGGGACGGCUAACUACGUG